AUACGAAGGGGGCUAGCGUUGUUCGGAAUUACGGGGCGUAAAGCGCGCGUAGGCGGACUGAUCAGUUGGGGGUGAAAUCCCAGGGCUUAACCCUGGAACUGCCUCCAAUACUGUCAGUCUUGAGUUCGGGAGAGGUGAGUGGAAUUCCUAGUGUAGAGGUGAAAUUCGUAGAUAUUAGGAAGAACACCAGUGGCGAAGGCGGCUCACUGGCCCGAUACUGACGCUGAGGCGCGAAAGCGUGGGGAGCAAACAGGAUUAGAUACCCUAGUAGUCC
rnacentral:rRNA from 1 species